GAUAGCCUACGGGGCGCAGCAGUGGGGAAUAUUGGGCAAUGGGCGCAAGCCUGACCCAGCAACGCCGCGUGAAGGAAGAAGGCUUUCGGGUUGUAAACUUCUUUUCUCAGGGACGAAGAAAAUGACGGUACCUGAGUAAGAAGCCCCGGCUAACUACGUGCCAGCAGCCGCGGUAAUACGUAGGGGGCAAGCGUUAUCCGGAUUUACUGGGUGUAAAGGGAGCGUAGACGGCAGUGCAAGUCUGGAGUGAAAGGCGGGGGCUCAACCCCCGGACUGCUCUGGAAACUGUACGGCUGGAGUGCAGG
rnacentral:rRNA from 1 species